CGGGCUUCCUGGCGGGCGCUGCGUCCGCCUCGCGUGCCGGGCCGGCCGCCUAAUCCCGCGAGGAAUCCUUGAUUCCUCCCGGCACCCGCCGCCAACUUGAGCCCGAGCGACUAAUGCACUCAUUUUAACGCCGAAAAGUACCCAGCUCCGCUGUUGUAAGGCAAAGAGCUCGGGCGGCGGGACAAGGGCGAAGGGGAACGCGGACGAGAAGUCACGAGUCGCCUCCGCGGACAGUUCUCGGCUUCCUGAGCGGCACCGACGCUUCCUCGCCGCCUGCCUUGCCCAGGCAACCACAGCAGCCUGGCGGCCUUGCGCCCUACCGGUGUUGUGCCCCGGGAUGAAGGUCCCGCGCCCUCCACCCCCAGUACCCUACCGCAGCCCUUUCUGCCGGGAACUCGGGGCGCACGGGAGAUAACAACACAGAUUGUCUUACUGAGCUCACCUGAUUGUUUGAAGCCCAAAGAGGAAAAGGAAUGUGCAGUCUGAAGGCAACCUCCAGCAGGAACAAGCCGAUGCAAACUUCAGAAUGUUAAGUGUCCCUGAAUGAAUAAGAACUUGGGCUAAGAAGCCAAAGCUAUUCCUAUACUGCCUGUCCUUCCAAUGCCACACUCUGGAAUGAUCCAUCUUUCAAAUUAUUAAGUAAAAGGCUGGCAGAGAGAAAAUUGUCCAGGCAACUUCUACUACUACUGAGAUCUGAAAAUACAGUCCUAAAAAGAAAAAAAGUUCACUGCCCAUGUGGAGGUGUCUUUCUUUCUCCAGAGAGAAGCAGAUGGCAUCAGUCUUUUCCAAGAGUCAACUCUUCGCAUGAGGUGGCCAAAGUACUGGAGCUUCAGCUUUAGCAUCAUUCCUUCCAAAGAAAUCCCAGGGUUGAUCUCCUUCAGAAUGGACUGGUUGGAUCUCCUGUAGACUAUGGUAAAGUACAACUGGAUAACUUUGAAAGACUGCAGGGUAUCAAUAUUAUUUGUGCUUUAAAUUUAUCAUUCUGGCCGAUUUAUGGAAAACAGGUGGAAGCAAGAAUGCCAGCUUAAAGUAAUUGUGAUAAGCAAUUAGCAGCUUGAUAUUGUCAGAGAAAGGAAAUAGAGUGGAUGGAUUUGAGAUGUUUUAGAAGCAGAACCUCUAAACUUGCUGAAUAAUUAGAUAUGGAGGUGAGGAAAAGGUAGGAAACCAGGAAAAAUGUUAAGGUUUGAACAACAGAGAAUGACAGUGUCAUGAGAUGGAGAAUUGAAUUCACGGAGGAAAAGAUUUGAUGUGAAGGUAGGAAUGGAGAAUUCUUUGCAGCCUGUUACAUGGGAGAUUUCUUUUGGACAUCUGACUGGAGAUAUGAAGACUGGAGAAAUAAAGUAGGUACAGUUGGUUUGUAAAAGAUGUUGUAAAACUAUGGGAGGAGAGAAAAG
ensembl:lncRNA